AAGAAAUCUUUGACUGUUUGCAUAGAUUUAGUUUUAUCCUCCAUUUUCUUUAACACCUCUUCUGCCUUAACACCAAACAAGGUAUCAUGCUGUAAAGGAGUAUCCAAUAACGUUGCCUUAACAUGAUCAAGUAAACUCUGUUCUUUUAACCAAGCAUGUCUUCGAAUAACAGAACCUGUAAAGUACAGUUUUGUACCUACCAUAAAUGUAGA